GGGGACAAGGUUUAGCGGCGGACGGGUGAGUAACACGUAGGUAACCUGCCUGUAAGANNGGGAUAACAUUCGGAAACGAAUGCUAAUACCGGAUACGCGAAUGNUCGCAUGACUCGUUCGGGAAAGACGGAGCUUUCUGUCACUUACAGAUGGACCUGCGGCGCAUUAGCUAGUUGGUGAGGUAACGGCUCACGCAGGCGACGAUGCGUAGCCGACCUGAGAGGGUGAUCGGCCACACUGGGACUGAGACACGGCCCAGACUCCUACGGGAGGCAGCAGUAGGGAAUCUUCCGCAAUGGGCGAAAGCCUGACGGAGCAACGCCGCGUGAGUGAUGAAGGUUUUCGGAUCGUAAAGCUCUGUUGCCAGGGAAGAAUGCUUGGGAGAGUAACUGCUCCCAAGGUGACGGUACCUGAGAAGAAAGCCGGCUAACUACGUGCCAGCAGCCGCGGUAAUAC
rnacentral:rRNA from 1 species